rnacentral:rRNA from 1 species
UACGAAGGGGGGCUAGCGUUGCUCGGAAUCACUGGGCGUAAAGGGCGCGUAGGCGGCCAUUCAAGUCAGAGGUGAAAGCCCAAGGCUCAACCUUGGAACUGCCUUUUGAUACUGUUUUGGCUUGAGACCGGUAGAGGUAAGUGGAACUGCGAGUGUAGAGGUGAAAUUCGUAGAUAUUCGCAAGAACACCAGUGGCGAAGGCGGCUUACUGGACCGGUUCUGACGCUGAGGUGCGAAAGCGUGGGAGCGAGUCCGG